UACGGAGGGGGCUAGCGUUGUUCGGAAUUACUGGGCGUAAAGCGCACGUAGGCGGCUUUGUAAGUUAGAGGUGAAAGCCCGGGGCUCAACUCCGGAAUUGCCUUUAAGACUGCAUCGCUAGAAUUGUGGAGAGGUAAGUGGAAUUCCGAGUGUAGAGGUGAAAUUCGUAGAUAUUUCGGAAGAACACCAGUGGCGAAGGCGACUUACUGGGACACAUAUUGACGCUGAGGUGCGAAAACGUGGGGGAGCAAACAGGGAUUAAGAAACCCC
rnacentral:rRNA from 1 species